GUCUGGAGGAGAAGGAGGCCCACGCUGGCACGUGUUGUUGGUUCAGUUCAGGUCCUCGGCUCAGUCUCAGACUCUUCUUUUCUCUUCCUGUCCCUUUGUGACCGGGGGGGGGGGACUGAGCCCAAGCCCUCGGCGCUCCGCCGGGAACGCUGCUCUGUUUGAAGACGGAUUAAGUCCUCGUUUAAAAAGACUGAAGGAAUUUGGCAGCCAGAGAAAAGAUUGAAUCAGUGCUGGGGGCGGAGCUAC